CCCACGGCCAUAUUAAUUUUUAAAAAAUGCAAAAAUUAGUUAGUUCUUAGAAAACUGCUCGUAACUUGAAAGCGCUUCGACUUUUGAUUGUGCAAGUUAGGCUAGGAAAAUAUACCAGUCAAAGAUCUACAAGAUGAUGCCCGAAUCGCUUACUAUCUCGAAGGAUUGGCUGUGAUCUGCUUCUGUCAAGCGCUACACAAGGUAUACUGGGUGUGGCUUAUAACCAGAGGCAGCUAUGUGUAAAAAGAAGCACUGGCAGUGGCAAAAAGGUGUGGCUGGAUCCAAUAAUCAGAGGUGGGGCCACGUAUGUACAGGAACAGUGGCAGUAGCAGCGAGGUACAAAUGUCUGUGUCUGUGGCUACUGCUGUCCGUGAGUACUUGCUGUCACUGCCCAGUGCCCCUUCGCCUCUGUCAAGAGUGGAAUACAUGAAAGGUUGACGUUCGUGGUAGGACUGUCACAACAGUGGUCAGCAGUAUUCCUCAGUGUCAUGUCCUAUCCAGAUCUACAUUUUUGCUAAUAAUAAAUUGUUGUAAUUAUUGUUGUAUUUGUGGUGAGUGAAGCUAUUUU